AUUGAACGCUGGCGGCAGGCCUAACACAUGCAAGUCGAGCGGAUGAAGGGAGCUUGCUCCUGGAUUCAGCGGCGGACGGGUGAGUAAUGCCUAGGAAUCUGCCUGGUAGUGGGGGAUAACGUCCGGAAACGGGCGCUAAUACCGCAUACGUCUGAGGGAGAAAGUGGGGGAUCUUCGGACCUCACGCCAUCCGAUGAGCCCUGGUCGGAUUAGCUAGUUGGGGGGGUAAAGGCCUACCAAGGCGACGAUCCGUAACUGGUCUGAGAGGAUGAUCAGUCACACUGGAACUGAGACACGGUCCAGACUCCUACGGGAGGCAGCAGUGGGGAAUAUUGGACAAUGGGCGAAAGCCUGAUCCAGCCAUGCCGCGUGUGUGAAGAAGGUCUUCGGAUUGUAAAGCACUUUAAGUUGGGAGGAAGGGCAGUAAGUUAAUACCUUGCUGUUUUGACGUUACCAACAGAAUAAGCACCGGCUAACUUCGUG
rnacentral:rRNA from 1 species